rnacentral:rRNA from 1 species
CCGGCUAACUCCGUGCCAGCAGCCGCGGUAAUACGGAGGGUGCGAGCGUUAAUCGGAAUUACUGGGCGUAAAGCGCAUGCAGGUGGUUCAUUAAGUCAGAUGUGAAAGCCCGGGGCUCAACCUCGGAACUGCAUUUGAAACUGGUGAACUAGAGUACUGUAGAGGGGGGUAGAAUUUCAGGUGUAGCGGUGAAAUGCGUAGAGAUCUGAAGGAAUACCAGUGGCGAAGGCGGCCCCCUGGACAGAUACUGACACUCAGAUGCGAAAGCGUGGGGAGCAAACAGGAUUAGAUACCCUGGUAGUCCACGCCGUAAACGAUGUCUACUUGGAGGUUGUGGCCUUGAGCCGUGGCUUUCGGAGCUAACGCGUUAAGUAGACCGCCUGGGGAGUACGGUCGCAAGAUUAAAACUCAAAUGAAUUGACGGGGGCCCGCACAAGCGGUGGAGCAUGUGGUUUAAUUCGAUGCAACGCGAAGAACCUUACCUACUCUUGACAUCCAGAGAAGCCAGCGGAGACGCAGGUGUGCCUUCGGGAGCUCUGAGACAGGUGCUGCAUGGCUGUCGUCAGCUCGUGUUGUG